UACGGAGGGUGCAAGCGUUAUCCGGAUUCACUGGGCUUAAAGCGUGUGUAGGCGGACUUCUAAGUACCUUGUGAAAUCCCACGGCUCACCCGUGGAACUGCUUGGUAUACUGGUUGUCUUGAGCCUUCUAGGGGCGAGUGGAACAAAUGGUGGAGCGGUGAAAUGCGUAGAUAUCAUUUGGAACGCCAAUGGUGAAAACAACUCGCUGGGGAAGUGCUGACGCUGAGACACGAAAGCCAGGGGAGCGAACGGG
rnacentral:rRNA from 1 species